CUCGGUUUCCCUGCCUAUAAGAAAGCAAUGGCAAGCUUUGCCACUUUGGAGGGGGGACCAUGAAGCUUAACUCGUUAACACGAACGCACUUUGUGCUUGUAGGAUAGUGAUGCUUCAGACAUGCACUGUGUUGUUACCAAGCAGAGACGUACUUGAAAUGAGAGCAAGCCCUUGGAUUCAAAUAGCUCUGUUAUUUUGGAGGCAUUGCUAUUUUAUAGCCCCGCAAUGGAUCGUCUUGCACACCCCCCGGGGUGCGUGCACCCCACUUUGGAGACCAUUGGUAGGCCACGGCUGUUCCUGUUGACCACCGUAUCUGAUUGCGACACCCACUCAAUGCACUUGUCCCCCCUGUGGUGAACGUGAUGAGAUUUAAAUAUGGUGUUAGGUUUGUAAAAGGCUCCUUCUUGGUGGACAGGGAAGGUUUAAAAAUGAGUUUCAGAUAACAUUUGG
rnacentral:lncRNA from 1 species